GCCCAAGCCUGACGCAAAUCCGAUUUGGCCGGCCUAAAUUGCCCGUUUGGGCCGAAAAUAGGUCUAGCCAAAACUCGGUUGGUUUAAUAUUUCAUAAUAUUGCUUCAUAAGUAAAUGAGCUGGUUAAAAAUUCGAUUCUCUCCUAUAACACGGAUAAAUGAUACAUGAUAUAUUAUUCUUAGCUAAACCCAUUUAAAUUUUUCUUUACUUUCUCAUUAUUCUACCUAAAUAAUAACAUAUAAAACAAAUUAAUUUGGGCUCCGUUUCUGGCCUUGUUCAGACUUGG
rnacentral:lncRNA from 1 species